UACAGAGGGUGCGAGCGUUAAUCGGAAUUACUGGGCGUAAAGCGUGCGUAGACGGUUAUUUAAGUCGGGUGUGAAAGCCCCGGGCUCAACCUGGGAAUUGCGAUGGAGACUGCAAGGCUUGAAUCUGGCAGAGGGGGGUAGAAUUCCACGUGUAGCAGUGAAAUGCGCAGAUAUCAGGAAGAACACCCGUGGCUAAGGCGGCUCUCUAGUACGGUACUGACGCUGAGACGCGAAAGCGUGGGGAGCGAACAGG
rnacentral:rRNA from 1 species